GGCCACUUCAGUUAAAAGCUCAAAUGUUGUCUACCGUGGUACCCUCUUUCUACUCAGUAUUUCCUGCUCUUUUAGUCGAUGCUGGAAUCUGGAAAGACGAGCCUGGAGGCUGACCAGGCUUGCUGCUUUUCGCGACAACACAUAGCUCAAUUGUGUUACAUAAUUGUCGAUGAGACUUCCAGGCUGAUCAACUUCUGCCAACAGUUUCAUUUCUUCACGAACAAUCUCCAUCGUAUCUUCAAUUUCUUUCCUGUGUGCAGCCAUCAGGGCCUCUUCUUCCUGCAGUAAUUCAUUGAUAUUAUCAUCAUGAGGGGGUGAAGAAGGUUCAUUUUGUCCCGAUCCAACACUUUUUAUACUUGCAUUUUGCUGUUUAUAACUCAUAGAGGAUGACUCAGAGCUCGACGCAUCUUUUCUUGACCAUUUUCCUGGCUUUUCAGGUUUCUCAUCACGAGAAACUUUCCUCCGCGGUGGAGAUACUUUCUGCACCUUGUCUUCUGUAUCAGUUGAACUCUGCAAAUUCGAUGUAGACUGCAUUCUUUGACCAGCUGGAACACCAUAGUUAUUCUUCGCCUCAAGCCUGUCCCUAUCCAUACCACCAAAAUUUGUCCCUCCAUCAUCCUGACUGUUGAAAGUUUGAUUUGAAGAAAAUCUAGAGGGUUGUUUAUCAAAAACAUUAGCCGAAUUGUAUGAUGUUGUUUCUUUCUCCACAACUCUUCUAUUUGCUUCUGAUACUCUAGAUUCUUGAGGUUGCUCAUAAGCGUCUUCCGCCUCAGCAGAGGCAGCCAAAGUAGUCGGUAGAGAAGGUUCCUUGAAUGUUGGAGUUGUUACACUUGCACUCUGAUUUUUGUUGGUGUUUCCACCUUUGGAUAGACUUUUAACCCUGUCUGCAUAUCUUAAUGUGUUGAGUGUAUGUUCACAUGAUCCAGCAUUAGGAGAAAUGCAGGAAAUCAUAACUGUCUUUGAGUUGCCAACAAAGGAGUCACGCAACACUUCAGUGAGUUUGCUCCCACGGAACGGGAUAUGAAGCUGAUCAUUGUCAAGAGCACGAAUGCACUCUUUAAGAGCUAACAAGCUCUUGUUAAUUUCUGCUCCCUCAAUUCUUGUUUGCCUGUCAUUAUCAGUAGUGUCUGCACCUCUCUCGCUACCUGCAAGGUCAAUAAAGGAAAUCUUUCCGAUGACUUUCCCUCCUUUGGAUUCAUUUCCGUCAUUAUUUCUUCUAGUGUCCUUCACUUCAUUGUGUUUCUUGACGACAAGUUGUAAUAUCGCGUGAGAUCUUGAUGAUUCCUCAUUUGCACCAGUGGAGCCUGUACUUCUUGAAGCGUUUCCUCUCUCAAUAAACUCUUUCACAAUCUGUACAUCUGAAACUUCAAAUUCCUGGA
rnacentral:misc_RNA from 1 species